AGUGAACGCUGGCGGUAGGCCUAACACAUGCAAGUCGAACGGCAGCACAGUAAGAGCUUGCUCUUACGGGUGGCGAGUGGCGGACGGGUGAGGAAUACAUCGGAAUCUACUUUUUCGUGGGGGAUAACGUAGGGAAACUUACGCUAAUACCGCAUACGACCUACGGGUGAAAGCAGGGGAUCUUCGGACCUUGCGCGAUUGAAUGAGCCGAUGUCGGAUUAGCUAGUUGGCGGGGUAAAGGCCCACCAAGGCGACGAUCCGUAGCUGGUCUGAGAGGAUGAUCAGCCACACUGGAACUGAGACACGGUCCAGACUCCUACGGGAGGCAGCAGUGGGGAAUAUAGGACAAUGGGCGCAAGCCUGAUCCAGCCAUACCGCGUGGGUGAAGAAGGCAUUCGGGUUGUAAAGCCCUUUUGUUGGGAAAGAAAAGCAGCAGGUUAAUACCCCGCUGUGCUGACGGUACCCAAAGAAUAAGCACCGGAUAACUUAGUG
rnacentral:rRNA from 1 species